GAAAUAUAAAAUUAAAGCUUCUAACUUUAUAAAUAGCGAUCAAAUAAACGUUAAUAUUUCU
rnacentral:tRNA from 1 species